CUCGGCUUGAAAAAAAAAAGUCCGGAAACGGGCGCUAAUACCGCAUCCGUCCUGAGGGAGAAAGUGGGGGAUCUUCGGACCUCACGCUAUCAGAUGAGCCUAGGUCGGAUUAGCUAGUUGGUGGGGUAAAGGCCUACCAAGGCGACGAUCCGUAACUGGUCUGAGAGGAUGAUCAGUCACACGGGAACUGAGACACGGUCCAGACUACGACGGGAGGCAGAAGUGGGGAAUAGUGGAAAAUGGGCGAAAGCUUGAUUUAUUUUUUUAGUGUGACU
rnacentral:rRNA from 1 species